UACGGGGGGGGCAAGCGUUGUUCGGAAUUACUGGGCGUAAAGGGUGCGUAGGCGGUCCGCUAAGUUGGAUGUGAAAACUCUGGGCUUAACCCAGAGCCUGCAUUCAAAACUGACGGGCUAGAGUUCUGGAGGGGGUAGCGGAAUUCCUGGUGUAGCGGUGAAGUGCGUAGAUAUCAGGAGGAACACCGGUGGCGAAGGCGGCUACCUGGACAGAAACUGACGCUGAGGCACGAAAGCUAGGGGAGCAAACAGG
rnacentral:rRNA from 1 species